rnacentral:rRNA from 1 species
GACGAACGCUGGCGGCGUGCUUAACACAUGCAAGUCGAACGGACAGACAGAGAGCUUGCUCUCUUGAAGUUAGUGGCGAACGGGUGAGUAACGCGUAAUCAACCUGCCCUUCAGAGGGGGAUAACAACGGGAAACCGUUGCUAAUACCGCGUACGAUUCAUGAACGGCAUCGUUUAUGAAUGAAAGGUGGCCUCUAUGUAUAAGCUAUCGCUGAAGGAGGGGAUUGCGUCUGAUUAGCUAGUUGGAGGGGUAACGGCCCACCAAGGCAAUGAACAGUAGCCGAUCUGAGAGGAUGAACGGCCACAUUGGGACUGAGACACGGCCCAAACUCCUACGGGAGGCAGCAGUGGGGAAUCUUCCGCAAUGGACGAAAGUCUGACGGAGCAACGCCGCGUGAGUGAUGAAGGUCUUCGGAUUGUAAAGCUCUGUUAAUCGGGACGAAAGAGUUCUGCGUGAAUAAUGCAGAAAAGUGACGGUACCGGAAUAGAAAGCCACGGCUAACUACGUGCCAGCCGCCGCGGUAA